AAAUUGAAGAGUUUGAUCAUGGCUCAGAUUGAACGCUGGCGGCAGGCCUAACACAUGCAAGUCGAACGGUAACAGGGAAACAGCUUGCUGUUUCGCUGACGAGUGGCGGACGGGUGAGUAAUGUCUGGGAAACUGCCUGAUGGAGGGGGAUAACUACUGGAAACGGUAGCUAAUACCGCAUAACGUCGCAAGACCAAAGAGGGGGACCUUCGGGCCUCUUGCCAUCGGAUGUGCCCAGAUGGGAUUAGCUUGUUGGUGGGGUAACGGCUCACCAAGGCGACGAUCCCUAGCUGGUCUGAGAGGAUGACCAGCCACACUGGAACUGAGACACGGUCCAGACUCCUACGGGAGGCAGCAGUGGGGAAUAUUGCACAAUGGGCGCAAGCCUGAUGCAGCCAUGCCGCGUGUAUGAAGAAGGCCUUCGGGUUGUAAAGUACUUUCAGCGGGGAGGAAGGGAGUAAAGUUAAUACCUUUGCUCAUUGACGUUACCCGCAGAAGAAGCACCGGCUAACUCCGUGCCAGCAGCCGCGGUAAUACGGAGGGUGCAAGCGUUAAUCGGAAUUACUGGGCGUAAAGCGCACGCAGGCGGUUUGUUAAGUCAGAUGUGAAAUCCCCGGGCUCAACCUGGGAACUGCAUCUGAUACUGGCAAGCUUGAGUCUCGUAGAGGGGGGUAGAAUUCCAGGUGUAGCGGUGAAAUGCGUAGAGAUCUGGAGGAAUACCGGUGGCGAAGGCGGCCCCCUGGACGAAGACUGACGCUCAGGUGCGAAAGCGUGGGGAGCAAACAGGAUUAGAUACCCUGGUAGUCCACGCCGUAAACGAUGUCGACUUGGAGGUUGUGCCCUUGAGGCGUGGCUUCCGGAGCUAACGCGUUAAGUCGACCGCCUGGGGAGUACGGCCGCAAGGUUAAAACUCAAAUGAAUUGACGGGGGCCCGCACAAGCGGUGGAGCAUGUGGUUUAAUUCGAUGCAACGCGAAGAACCUUACCUGGUCUUGACAUCCACGGAAGUUUUCAGAGAUGAGAAUGUGCCUUCGGGAACCGUGAGACAGGUGCUGCAUGGCUGUCGUCAGCUCGUGUUGUGAAAUGUUGGGUUAAGUCCCGCAACGAGCGCAACCCUUAUCCUUUGUUGCCAGCGGUCCGGCCGGGAACUCAAAGGAGACUGCCAGUGAUAAACUGGAGGAAGGUGGGGAUGACGUCAAGUCAUCAUGGCCCUUACGACCAGGGCUACACACGUGCUACAAUGGCGCAUACAAAGAGAAGCGACCUCGCGAGAGCAAGCGGACCUCAUAAAGUGCGUCGUAGUCCGGAUUGGAGUCUGCAACUCGACUCCAUGAAGUCGGAAUCGCUAGUAAUCGUGGAUCAGAAUGCCACGGUGAAUACGUUCCCGGGCCUUGUACACACCGCCCGUCACACCAUGGGAGUGGGUUGCAAAAGAAGUAGGUAGCUUAACCUUCGGGAGGGCGCUUACCACUUUGUGAUUCAUGACUGGGGUGAAGUCGUAACAAGGUAACCGUAGGGGAACCUGCGGUUGGAUCACCUCCUUA
rnacentral:rRNA from 1 species